rnacentral:misc_RNA from 1 species
AGCAGCCGCGGUAAUUCCAGCUCCAAUAGCGUAUAUUAAAGUUGUUGCAGUUAAAAAGCUCGUAGUUGAAUUUCGAGAUCAAUUUGUUGGUCGUGCCUUGGUACGUACUGGCAAUUUUGGUUUCUCCCUUCUGAAGAACCAUGAUGUCAUUAAUUUGGUGUCAUGGGGAAUCAGGACUGUUACUUUGAAAAAUUAGAGUGUUUAAAGCAGGCUCGCGCUUGAAUACAUUAGCAUGGAAUAAUGAAAUAGGACGUUUGAUUCUAUUUUGUUGGUUUCUAGGAUCGACGUAAUGAUUAAUAGGGAUAGUUGGGGGCAUUAGUAUUCAAUUGUCAGAGGUGAAAUUCUUGGAUUUAUUGAAGACUAACUACUGCGAAAGCAUUUGCCAAGGAUGUUUUCAUUAAUCAAGAACGAAAGUUAGGGGAUCGAAGACGAUCAGAUACCGUCGUAGUCUUAACCAUAAACUAUGCCG